UACGAAGGGGGCUAGCGUUGUUCGGAAUUACUGGGCGUAAAGGGCGCGUAGGCGGUUCGACAAGUCAGAUGUGAAAGCCCUGGGCUCAACCCAGGAAAUGCGUUUGAUACUGUCGUGCUUGAAUUCGGGAGAGGUUGGUAGAAUUGCCAGUGUAGAGGUGAAAUUCGUAGAGAUUGGCAAGAAUACCCGUGGCGAAGGCGGCCAACUGGACCGACAUUGACGCUGAGGCGCGAAAGCGUGGGGAGCAAAC
rnacentral:rRNA from 1 species